rnacentral:rRNA from 1 species
UACGUAGGGGGCUAGCGUUGCUCGGAAUCACUGGGCGUAAAGCGCACGUAGGCGGCUUGCUAAGUCAGGGGUGAAAUCCUGGAGCUCAACUCCAGAACUGCCUUUGAUACUGGCGAUCUCGAGUCCGGGAGAGGUGAGUGGAACUGCGAGUGUAGAGGUGAAAUUCGUAGAUAUUCGCAAGAACACCAGUGGCGAAGGCGGCUCACUGGCCCGGUACUGACGCUGAGGUGCGAAAGCGUGGGGAGCAAACAGG